GUAGCCAGAGACUCCCACACAUUACGCGUGUAGUCAUCAUCCUCCGAGCAGCCAGGUAUGUUCAUGACCUUUUUAUGUUUUGUAUGUUUCUCUCUUAGGAACAAGUUGUAACUUUAGAUUAUUCACUUUAGAUUAGUUUGAAGGUGCUACUAAUAGUGACUUGCACGUGGUGCAUUUUAGCUUAGUGCUGCUGUUCCUCUUUCCCAGACAAGAGAAGACUAAACACCCAUCCAACAACAGCAAGUCAAGUUCACUGGAUUCACGAUGAUAGAAACUUCACUCUCUUUUUUCUUUCUGCUGAUCAUGACCUCCGGGGGCUUGGGUGCACAGUGGAGUGUCACUUACACACCUACAGACAUCUGUGCUCUGGAAGGCUCCUCAGUUAACAUGUCCUGCUCUUACACUACCCUAGUGGUCUUACAGUC
ensembl:lncRNA